UGGAGAAGGUCCCAAGGGUUGGGCUGUUCGCCCAUUAAAGUGGCACGCGAGCUGGGUUCAGAACGUCGUGAGACAGUUCGGUCCAUAUCCGGUGUAUGCGUAGGAAUAUUGAGAGGAUUUCUCCCUAGUACGAGAGGACCGGGAGGAACACACCUCUGGUGUACCAGUUAUCGUGCCAACGGUAAACGCUGGGUAGCCAUGUGUGGAGUGGAUAACCGCUGAAAGCAUCUAAGCGGGAAGCCCCCCUCAAGAUAAGGUCUCUCUGAGAGCCGUGGAAGACCACCACGUUGAUAGGCCAGGUGUGGACG
rnacentral:rRNA from 11 species